UCCGGUUUGUCACCGGCAGUCCCAUUAGAGUGCUCAUCUGAAUGUAGCAACUAAUGACAAGGGUUGCGCUCGUUGCGGGACUUAACCCAACAUCUCACGACACGAGCUGACGACAGCCAUGCAGCACCUGUGUUCCGAUUCUCUUUCGAGCACUCCCCAAUCUCUCGGGGAUCUCGGACAUGUCAAGCGUAGGUAAGGUUUUUCGCGUUGCAUCGAACUAAUCCACAUCAUCCACCGCUUGUGCGGGCCCCCGCCAAUUCCUUUGAGUUUUAAUCUUGCGACCGUACUCCCCAGGCGGGAUGCUUAAUGCGUUAGCUGCGCCACUGAAGGGUAAACCCACCAACGGCUAGCAUCCAUCGUUUACGGCGUGGACUAC
rnacentral:misc_RNA from 1 species